CAGACGUUCUACCACCAAGUGGGAACUCUGCAAACAUUGCUGAUGUAAACACACUGGAUGACAGUGACCCUCAGAUUAGUAAGAAAUGACUGUCUAAUAUUUCACUAAGCCAGCAAGGAUACCCACUCUAAAUAACAGAGUCAGAUGUUGGCUUUCCAGUGUCUCUAAACCUAACCUUUCCCUGAAAACCUCCAUUUCUCUGAGAGCUGUGCAUUUCUAUGUGCUUUGCACUUGACCAAGAUUCAAUGGAGAGAAUCCAGUCAUUUGGCAAAUGCUGAUCAGACUCCUGUUCUGGGCCAAGUGCUGGACCAGGCACUGGCCAAAGAUGGUGCCAAUUAGAAACCCAAGUAUGGUGUGUGCUGCUGGGGAGGGCCAGGGAUCCAGAGGGAGCUCAAGCCACCCUAGCAACUCUGAUCCUUCCCCAUGCACACCAAGUGGGGAUGGGGUUUCUCAGUCUCCUCCCAACCCUGGGAGAGGAAGAGGUAAGCCAGGCCUUUCCCGGCUCUCUGCUCAGGAUACAUAGCCUCACUGCCCUGACCUCUGUUUUUUCCCCAUGGUAGCCGUUUGUGUUUAACUAACACAAACUGGGUAGUAGCGGUAUAGC
rnacentral:lncRNA from 1 species